GGAAACACAGCACAACAGCUACCAGCUCCAGCCAGAGAGAAGAGGAGGGAGGGAGGUGUGUUGGGGUGAAAAGGAGAUCGCCCAUAACCUGAUCGGCGUUUCCGAAGAGAGGCAGGUUGACUUUCAAAGAAGUGAUCGUCUCUCUCGACUCCCCUCCUCCUCUUUUCUGCUUACAUGGCCUCCAUCUGUCAAGCUGUCAUCGGCCUCGCCUAGUCGACCUUGUUAGGGCCACCCCACAGGCUCCCACCCUCGAGUCCGUGUAGCCCCGAUAUGCCAAGGGGAUGAUGAGCGUCUCACUCUUGAACUGACAUGGCCCACCGUAGGGUGAGAGCCAGUGAGAGUUGUGACUUCAAUGGAAUGUUUAGCAAUAUUUAUAUUAGCCGAGUCAAUGCAGAGUCAAGUUUCCCUUCCGACGCAGCGACGGCGUUAAUGAAAAGCAUCUCAUCGACACGCGGAGCCUCCGAGACAAAGGGUCAGGAACCAGAGCCUCGAUUGUCACUUUCAUCAUCGCACAGAUACCACUUGGGAAAAUUGAAAGACAGCUUAAGUAAACUGACAAGGAGUUGUGGGUCAGAAAUGACAAAUGUUUAAUUACACAUGCAAACAAAAACUGACUGCAAGAUGUGUUCAAAUCCCUCGUGUUCCAAUGGUGGAAGUUCAUCAAUUAAUUAAAUUGUGCAAGAUUUAACCUCUACCCUUCUGUUACUACAUAUUCGUCUCUUAUAAAUGGCGCCAAGAGACAACAAAGAAGAGCAGAUGAGUAGCGGAGUACUUUGGGCUUCUUAUCAGGGGGAAACUCUUUGAUAUUAAGUGAUAUUUUUUCCAAAUGACGUCAACUGAGAAAAUUAGUUUGCUGAAAAAGGUGCUCUUGUAAAGUCAGAACUAAGUUUUAGUGCUUAUUUUUCAGCUAUCUUAUUGAAGGCUUCGCCUGUUAAUGCGCAAUAUUCAAAAAACCCUCACAAGAACACAUUAAGUAUAAAUAGCAAUGCUAUGCAGACAUGAUCUCCAGGUCCAGGUUCAGGUUCAGGUUACUGUGUUUGCACCCGUAGGUAGAUUUGUUUUGCAAUGUAAAGUGAGGCCUUCAUCUCGACACACAUUACAAUUAACAACAAGACAGACAUGAUGAUAAAAGUACACAAGGCCACAAAUCAGUGCACUGUUAUAAUUAUAAUGUGUUCAGCGUGAUGAUGGCUGCUCAAUACCACUUUGUUCUCCACCAUUGGUACUAAACACCUCCGUCUCUAGACAGAACAAGCUGAAACUCCCUGUGCAAAGGGUGGGAGUCGUCCUUUAAGAUGGAGCCGGUUAUCUGUUGUUAUGGCGUGGUGUUCAGGGACUCUGGGCUUAGCUGUGACUCUCCUAUCAGCCUGCUGGACCAUUUCACAAUCUGAUACAGAGAGUUUAUGUUUUUUACAGAUAGGCCUCCAAACCAUGGCAGCAAAGAAAAAUGUAUUCAAUAAUAGCAUGAUAAAAUAAAGUCAUCCUUGUUAAUGUUGAAAUAUGACAGUUUCCUCAAACUAACAAAAACACUGGUGACCCCUUUCUGCACACAGCUUCACAGUUUGCAUCAAAAUUCAGUUUUUGGUCAAUAAUUGUCCCAAGAUAUAUUAUAGGAUUUCACAUAUUUCUCCGUCUGACCCUUAGUGGAUAUGACCUCAUGUGUGUGGACAUUCUUUUCUAAAAUCAAUUAUCAUGGCUUUCAUUUUAGAUAUGUUUAAUUGAAGAUAAGACUCCUCACACCAAAGUCUUGGUCUUGUUGCCCUGGAGCCGACUAACAAUAACAGAAUCAUUCUGCAUACUUUAAAAUGGUCCUAUAGAGGAUGAAUAAGAGGAGUGAAAGCACACAUCCCUGUGGGGAGCCAGUGGAGGAGCAAAUUUGGUCCAACAGAUUUCCAUUUAGAAUCAAUCUUUGUGUCUAAUUAGUUAAGAAGUCAAGAAUCAAACCCACAAGAUUGUGACUUGAGUCAAAUUGUUUUAAAAGCCGACUGGUUAAAAUAUGGGGUCGGAUUGUGUUUAAAAAAAAUCAUUUUAUAUUCUUUAACAGGUGUUUUGAAGACUUUAUUCCUGUCUCAAUAAAUUAAUAAGUAACUUGUGAAAUAAUUGUUUGCAUUUGUAUUUUGCAUAAAUUGAUCGGUAGUUUAUUAUGUCAAAAGAUAAUAAAGAAAAUACCCAUCACCA